rnacentral:rRNA from 1 species
UUAAGCGACUAAGCGUACACGGUGGAUGCCCUGGCAGUCAGAGGCGAUGAAGGACGUGCUAAUCUGCGAUAAGCGUCGGUAAGGUGAUAUGAACCGUUAUAACCGGCGAUUUCCGAAUGGGGAAACCCAGUGUGUUUCGACACACUAUCAUUAACUGAAUCCAUAGGUUAAUGAGGCGAACCGGGGGAACUGAAACAUCUAAGUACCCCGAGGAAAAGAAAUCAACCGAGAUUCCCCCAGUAGCGGCGAGCGAACGGGGAGCAGCCCAGAGCCUGAAUCAGUGUGUGUGUUAGUGGAAGCGUCUGGAAAGGCGCGCGAUACAGGGUGACAGCCCCGUACACAAAAAUGCACAUACUGUGAGCUCGAUGAGUAGGGCGGGACACGUGGUAUCCUGUCUGAAUAUGGGGGGACCAUCCUCCAAGGCUAAAUACUCCUGACUGACCGAUAGUGAACCAGUACCGUGAGGGAAAGGCGAAAAGAACCCCGGCGAGGGGAGUGAAAAAGAACCUGAAACCGUGUACGUACAAGCAGUGGGAGCACGCUUCGGCGUGUGACUGCGUACCUUUUGUAUAAUGGGUCAGCGACUUAUAUUCUGUAGCAAGGUUAACCGAAUAGGGGAGCCGAAGGGAAACCGAGUCUUAACUGGGCGUUAAGUUGCAGGGUAUAGACCCGAAACCCGGUGAUCUAGCCAUGGGCAGGUUGAAGGUUGGGUAACACUAACUGGAGGACCGAACCGACUAAUGUUGAAAAAUUAGCGGAUGACUUGUGGCUGGGGGUGAAAGGCCAAUCAAACCGGGAGAUAGCUGGUUCUCCCCGAAAGCUAUUUAGGUAGCGCCUCGUGAAUUCAUCUCCGGGGGUAGAGCACUGUUUCGGCAAGGGGGUCAUCCCGACUUACCAACCCGAUGCAAACUGCGAAUACCGGAGAAUGUUAUCACGGGAGACACACGGCGGGUGCUAACGUCCGUCGUGAAGAGGGAAACAACCCAGACCGCCAGCUAAGGUCCCAAAGUCAUGGUUAAGUGGGAAACGAUGUGGGAAGGCCCAGACAGCCAGGAUGUUGGCUUAGAAGCAGCCAUCAUUUAAAGAAAGCGUAAUAGCUCACUGGUCGAGUCGGCCUGCGCGGAAGAUGUAACGGGCUAAACCAUACACCGAAGCUGCGGCAGCGACGCUUAUGCGUUGUUGGGUAGGGGAGCGUUCUGUAAGCCUGUGAAGGUGUACUGUGAGGUAUGCUGGAGGUAUCAGAAGUGCGAAUGCUGACAUAAGUAACGAAUAAAGCGGGUGAAAAGCCCGCUCGCCGGAAGACCAAGGGUUCCUGUCCAACGUUAAUCGGGGCAGGGUGAGUCGACCCUAAGGCGAGGCGAAAGGCGUAGUCGAUGGGAAACAGGUUAAUAUCCUGUACUUGGUGUUACUGGCGAAGGGGGGACGGAGAAGGCUAUGUUGGCCGGGCGACGGUUGUCCCGGUUUAAGCGUGUAGGCUGGUUUUCCAGGAAAUCCGGAAAAUCAAGGCUGAGCGUGAUGACGAGGCACUACGGUGCUGAAGCAACAAAUGCCCUGCUUCAGGAAAAGCCUCUAAGCAUCAGGUAACAUCAAAUCGUACCCCAAACCGACACAGGUGGUCAGUAGAGAAUACCAAGGCGCUUGAGAGAAACUCGGGUGAAGGAACUAGGCAAAUGGUGCCGUAACUUCGGGAGAAGGCACGCUGAUAUGUAGGUGAAGUCCCUCGCGGAUGGAGCUGAAAUCAGUCGAAGAUACCAGCUGGCUGCAACUGUUUAUUAAAAACACAGCACUGUGCAAACACGAAAGUGGACGUAUACGGUGUGACGCCUGCCCGGUGCCGGAAGGUUAAUUGAUGGGGUUAGCGGUAACGCGAAGCUCUUGAUCGAAGCCCCGGUAAACGGCGGCCGUAACUAUAACGGUCCUAAGGUAGCGAAAUUCCUUGUCGGGUAAGUUCCGACCUGCACGAAUGGCGUAAUGAUGGCCAGGCUGUCUCCACCCGAGACUCAGUGAAAUUGAACUCGCUGUGAAGAUGCAGUGUACCCGCGGCAAGACGGAAAGACCCCGUGAACCUUUACUAUAGCUUGACACUGAACAUUGAGCCUUGAUGUGUAGGAUAGGUGGGAGGCUUUGAAGUGUGGACGCCAGUCUGCAUGGAGCCGACCUUGAAAUACCACCCUUUAAUGUUUGAUGUUCUAACGUUGGCCCCUGAUCGGGGUUGCGGACAGUGUCUGGUGGGUAGUUUGACUGGGGCGGUCUCCUCCUAAAGAGUAACGGAGGAGCACGAAGGUUGGCUAAUCCUGGUCGGACAUCAGGAGGUUAGUGCAAUGGCAUAAGCCAGCUUGACUGCGAGCGUGACGGCGCGAGCAGGUGCGAAAGCAGGUCAUAGUGAUCCGGUGGUUCUGAAUGGAAGGGCCAUCGCUCAACGGAUAAAAGGUACUCCGGGGAUAACAGGCUGAUACCGCCCAAGAGUUCAUAUCGACGGCGGUGUUUGGCACCUCGAUGUCGGCUCAUCACAUCCUGGGGCUGAAGUAGGUCCCAAGGGUAUGGCUGUUCGCCAUUUAAAGUGGUACGCGAGCUGGGUUUAGAACGUCGUGAGACAGUUCGGUCCCUAUCUGCCGUGGGCGCUGGAGAACUGAGGGGGGCUGCUCCUAGUACGAGAGGACCGGAGUGGACGCAUCACUGGUGUUCGGGUUGUCAUGCCAAUGGCACUGCCCGGUAGCUAAAUGCGGAAGAGAUAAGUGCUGAAAGCAUCUAAGCACGAAACUUGCCCCGAGAUGAGUUCUCCCUGACUCCUUGAGAGUCCUGAAGGAACGUUGAAGACGACGACGUUGAUAGGCCGGGUGUGUAAGCGCAGUGAUGCGUUGAGCUAACCGGUACUAAUGAACCGUGAGGCUUAACCUU